rnacentral:rRNA from 1 species
GCUACGGGAGGCAGCAGUGAGGAAUAUUGGUCAAUGGGCGCGAGCCUGAACCAGCCAAGUAGCGUGAAGGAUGAAUGCCCUACGGGUUGUAAACUUCUUUUAUAAAGGAAUAAAGUGAGGCACGUGUGCCUUUUUGUAUGUACUUUAUGAAUAAGGAUCGGCUAACUCCGUGCCAGCAGCCGCGGUAAUACGGAGGAGCCGAGCGUUAUCCGGAUUUAUUGGGUUGAAAGGGAGCGUAGAUGGGUUGUUCAGUCAGUUGUGACAGUUUGCGGCUCAACCGUAAAAUUGCACUUGAUACUGGCAGCCUUGAGUACAGUUGAGGUAGGCGGAAUUCGUGUUGUAGCGGUGAAAUGCUUAGAUAUCACGAAGAACUCCGAUUGCGACGGCAGCUUACUAAACUGCCCCUGACAUUGAUGCUCGAAAGUGUGGGUAUCAAACAGGAUUAGAUACCCCAGUAGUC